UCAUACUAGCCAAAUGGAAAAGGCUCUUGACUUAUCAUCGAGAAUAUACGGGUUCAAAUCCCGUGUGUGAUA
rnacentral:tRNA from 1 species